AUUGAACGCUGGCGGCAGGCUUAACACAUGCAAGUCGAGCGGGGGAAGGUAGCUUGCUACCGGACCUAGCGGCGGACGGGUGAGUAAUGCUUAGGAAUCUGCCUAUUAGUGGGGGACAACAUCUCGGAAGGGAUGCUAAUACCGCAUACGUCCUACGGGAGAAAGCAGGGGAUCUUCGGACCUUGCGCUAAUAGAUGAGCCUAAGUCGGAUUAGCUAGGUGGGGGGGUAAAGGCCUACCAAGGCGACGAUCUGUAGCGGGUCUGAGAGGAUGAUCCGCCACACUGGGACUGAGCCACGGCCCAGACUCCUACGGGAGGCAGCAGUGGGGAAUAUUGGACAAUGGGGGGAACCCUGAUCCAGCCAUGCCGCGUGUGUGAAGAAGGCCUUAUGGUUGUAAAACACUUUAAGCGAGGAGGAGGCUACUCUAGUUAAUACCUAGGGAUAGUGGACGUUACUCGCAGAAUAAGCACCGGCUAACUCUGUGCCAGCCGCCGCCGUAA
rnacentral:rRNA from 1 species